GCAAGUUGCUGUUGUGCUGGAGCUGAGAAGAGGUCUGCUGCCUGCAAUGGGUCCAUCUCUCUCAAGUGAUUGCAGUAUUAUAGCUCUCAAGGUUCAAAAAAAGUAUGGUGGAAGCUGUUGCCAAGGUUCCGACCAGAAAAGACAGCCAGUAUAAAAGGGUCCACGCCACUGAUCUCUACUACAGGGGAUGAACAGCACAUCGAGCGCCCUCGACUGAAGCUGGCCUUGUCCCGGAAGUUGGUGCUUGACAACUUUGCGGCAGCACUUUGUUGCACGGCCUGUGGAGACAAGGUUUCUUAGACAUGGCCGUGGCCCUCAAGGAAGAUGCCGAGGCCACAGGCAGUUCCUCCAGUGACCGUGAAAAGGUCCCCUGGGGCACAAGUCUGGUUUGGCACCCCCACCUUUCUGCUGCAGCUUUUCUGUCUACUUAGCUAACCAGCAGCAAGUUUAUCCUUGCAAGUGUUUGGAGUCAAGAACAACUUUCACCAGGAAGAAGUGCAAGACGAGUGAUUGAAGAAAAUAAAGUUGCUUCUGUGAUCUAAGAACUUGAGGACUGAAAUGUUGCACCUUUUUGUAUAUAUGCUAUGCAGUGCAUUCAUAUCACCAAGUGCAAAGUGUUUUAUCUCUGUAGCCAUGUCAGUGUGUUGGCAAGACAAUUUUCUCAAUGGUGACCUGCUGCUUUGACUAUGAGCUGCCUUCAUGACAUUUGCAUUAAAGGAGAUGUACUAUCGUGGACAAAAGUACCCUGGAAGUGCGAGCGUUGACCAAAUUGCAUUUCUGCUCAAGACCGCUGAAAACAGUGGGUCACGUAUGCACAUUCCGAACGCAGAUGGUGGCACGGCUGAUCCCAGCAAAUAGCACACCAAUGAAAUUCGGUCGACUCUCGCACGUCCUGGGCAAUUUUGUGCCCGAUGGCACAUUCUUCGAAUGGAUAUGCUCUGCAAGAUGAAAUACGGGAAGCACCUGUACUUUAACGGAUAUAGUACAGAUUUAGUAUACGGAGUCUUUCGUUUUCUGAAUACGGCAAGCACCUGUUUUUUAACGGUUAUAGUACAGAUUCAGAAUACAGAGUCUUCCGUUUUCUAGAUACAGAAGCACUCGUAUCUUGUAUUACGGUCUCUGUUUUUACAGUUGUCCGUACUACG